UACGUAGGGGCUAGCGUUAUCCGGAAUUACUGGGCGUAAAGGGUGCGUAGGUGGUUUCUUAAGUCAGAGGUGAAAGGCUACGGCUCAACCGUAGUAAGCCUUUGAAACUGGGAAACUUGAGUGCAGGAGAGGAGAGUGGAAUUCCUAGUGUAGCGGUGAAAUGCGUAGAUAUUAGGAGGAACACCAGUUGCGAAGGCGGCUCUCUGGACUAUAACUGACACUGAGGCACGAAAGCGUGGGGAGCAAACAGGAUUAGAUACCCCUGUAGUCCCUGAGCGGG
rnacentral:rRNA from 1 species